GCUCCAAUUAAAUGUAUCAGACUAGAAUUGGACUAAGUGAUAAUAAUUGAUGAUUUGUGGACCUAAAGGCAAUUGUUACAUUGCUUACAAGGACUUCCACUAGGCUGCCAGGGGACUUCCAUUCUUAUCCUCUCCCUGUACGCAUGAGGGAGAGAGUGAAAGGAAGAGAAAAGGAAAUAGAGAGAAGAAGAAGAAGAAGAAAGUAACAAAUUUUGGUGCCGUUUGGCGAGCCGAUCGAAACGCCGCGCGUCAGAUUUUUAGCGUCGACACUCGGGAAGUGAGACCCUAACUUGGAAUUGCGCAUGUAUGAACCUAAUUGGGGAUAAAGUAAACGCGUUGACGAAGUCGGUUCGGUAACCCAUCGAGCCUACGCGAAGAUAGGGCCAAAAGAACGUUUUCGGCUUCAAUUGUCGCGAACGCGGAUUGCGAUUCUUGGAAAGUGCGGGAAGUGGAUUUCUUGCGUUCCGGUAUCAAGUAAAGGUUCGCACGUGAGCGGCGCGGCGGCGCGAGGACAGGGCGUAGCUCCAUUGAUAGCGCCCUACCACUGAGACCGAGAUAGCAGUACCUUGAAGCGGUGUAGCUCAAAGUUCAGAGUAAAUGUAGCAAAUUUGUAACAAAUUAUAUAAGUUGUAAUAACUUAAAAGUUAUGUAAUAUAUUCAUGUAUAAGAUCUAUGAGUUGAAUGAUUGUAAUAGCAUAGUUAGCAUUUUAUGUUUUGAUA